UACAGAGGGUGCGAGCGUUGUCCGGAAUCACUGGGCGUAAAGGGCGCGUAGGCGGCCUGGUAAGUAGGGGGUGAAAUUCUGCGGCUUAACCGCAGAGCUGCCUUCUAAACUGUCAGGCUCGAGCACGGUAGAGGCUGGUGGAAUUCCCGGUGUAGCGGUGGAAUGCGUAGAGAUCGGGAAGAACAUCGGUGGCGAAGGCGGCCAGCUGGGCCGUUGCUGACGCUGAGGCGCGAAAGCGUGGGGAGCAAACAGG
rnacentral:rRNA from 1 species